rfam:Picea glauca, whole genome shotgun sequence.
GUAAUGGUGUCUUUAGACACCACCUCAUAUCCUCAAUUUCUUUGUU